AGUGAACGCUGGCGGUAGGCCUAACACAUGCAAGUCGAACGGCAGCACAGUAAGAGCUUGCUCUUACGGGUGACGAGUGGCGGACGGGUGAGGAAUACAUCGGAAUCUACUUUUUCGUGGAGGAUAACGUAGGGAAACUUACGCUAAUACCGCAUACGACCUACGGGUGAAAGCAGGGGAUCUUCGGACCUUGCGCGAUUGAAUGAGCCGAUGUCGGAUUAGCUAGUUGGCGGGGUAAAGGCCCACCAAGGCGACGAUCCGUAGCUGGUCUGAGAGGAUGAUCAGCCACACUGGAACUGAGACACGGUCCAGACUCCUACGGGAGGCAGCAGUGGGGAAUAUUGGACAAUGGGCGCAAGCCUGAUCCAGCCAUACCGCGUGGGUGAAGAAGGCCUUCGGGUUGUAAAGCCCUUUUGUUGGGAAAGAAAAGCAGCAGGUUAAUACCCCGCUGUUCUGACGGUACCCAAAGAAUAAGCACCGGCUAACUUCGUG
rnacentral:rRNA from 1 species